GCUUGUGAACCAGUGCACGGCCCCCUUUUGAUUUCAGGUUUGGGAAUCAUAGCUCUAGCAGAAUUACUUGGACUAGUUUAUAUGAAGUUUGUCGAGUGGAGAGAGACACCUUCGGUCAGUUGAAAGGCAAGAAGAAAAGCUUCCAACCAGCGGACUAUACAACCUCCUAGGAAUAACUGAAGGGAAGUGAUGGACUGUAACUUGAAAGUCAGAAGUGGAAGAAUUCAGUUGUCUGAGCACCAUGGCCUUCACAACUCACAGCUGGAAGGAACACACAACAGUGACUGACUUUCAUCUCUGAAAAAAGUCAUUGAACCAUAAAUGAAUAUUACAGUUAAGUUUAUAUUAAAGCAGCUGUAAUUUACGUAAUAAAAAAUAUAUGAUGUGCUGUGU
rnacentral:lncRNA from 1 species